GACGAACGCUGGCGGCGUGCUUAACACAUGCCAGUCGAACGGAAAGGCCCUGCUUUUGUGGGGUGCUCGAGUGGCGAACGGGGGAGUAACACGUGAGUAACCUGCCCUUGACUUUGGGAUAACUUCAGGAAACUGGGGCUAAUACCGGAUAGGAGCUCCUGCUGCAUGGUGGGGGUUGGAAAGUUUCGGCGGUUGGGGAUGGACUCGCGGCUUAUCAGCUUGUUGGUGGGGUAGUGGCUUACCAAGGCUUUGACGGGUAGCCGGCCUGAGAGGGUGACCGGCCACAAUGCGACUGAGAUACGGCGCAGACUCCUACGGGAGGCAGCAGUGGGGAGUAUUACACAGUGGGCGGAAGCCUGAUGCAGAAGCGCCGCGUGCGGGAUGCCGGCCUUCGGGUUGUAAACCGCUUUCGCCUGUGACGAAGCGUGAGUGACGGUAAUGGGUAAAGAAGCACCGGCUAACUACGUG
rnacentral:rRNA from 1 species